CCUACGGGAGGCAGCAGUGGGGAAUAUUGGACAAUGGGCGCAAGCCUGAUCCAGCCAUGCCGCGUGAGUGAUGAAGGCCUUAGGGUUGUAAAGCUCUUUUGUCCGGGACGAUAAUGACGGUACCGGAAGAAUAAGCCCCGGCUAACUUCGUGCCAGCAGCCGCGGUAAUACGAAGGGGGCUAGCGUUGCUCGGAAUCACUGGGCGUAAAGGGCGCGUAGGCGGCCAUUCAAGUCGGGGGUGAAAGCCUGUGGCUCAACCACAGAAUUGCCUUCGAUACUGUUUGGCUUGAGUUUGGUAGAGGUUGGUGGAACUGCGAGUGUAGAGGUGAAAUUCGUAGAUAUUCGCAAGAACACCAGUGGCGAAGGCGGCCAACUGGACCAACACUGACGCUGAGGCGCGAAAGCGUGGGGAGCAAACAGGAUUAGAUACCCCGGUAGUC
rnacentral:rRNA from 1 species